GAUGAACGCUGGCGGCGUGCUUAACACAUGCCAGUCGAACGAUGAAGCCCAGCUUGCUGGGUGGAUUAGUGGCGAACGGGUGAGUAACACGUGAGUAACCUGCCCUUAACUCUGGGAUAAGCCUGGGAAACUGGGUCUAAUACCGGAUAGGAGCGUCCACCGCAUGGUGGGUGUUGGAAAGAUUUAUCGGUUUUGGAUGGACUCGCGGCCUAUCAGCUUGUUUGUGAGGUAAUGGCCCACCAAGGCGACGGCGGGUAGGCGGCCUGGGAGGGUGACCGGCCACACUGGGACUGAGACACGGCCCAGACUCCUACGGGAGGCAGCAGUGGGGAAUAUUGCACAAUGGGCGCAAGCCUGAUGCAGCGACGCCGCGUGAGGGAUGACGGCCUUCGGGUUGUAAACCUCUUUCAGUAGGGAAGAAGCGAAAGUGACGGUACCUGCAGAAGAAGCACCGGCUAACUACGUG
rnacentral:rRNA from 1 species